CAGGGGCUGAGAUGCGAGGGGAGGAAAGCAAGCUGAGUACAGGGAGGGAUGGUGGGGAGGGAAAGGCAGGGAUUCGGGGAGCUUUUCCCCAGCCCUAAGCCCUGUGCCUGCCUGCUCAGUGGGGAGAGGGAAGGGGGAAGGGAAAACUGGAGGGAGGCGAUCACAGAAACGCACUUUUCGGAGCAAAACGCAAAGCUUACCAUGUCUGCAGGCUUCCCCCAGCGAAAUGCCACUUAUGUGUCCAGCGAUCCCAAAGCGGGCAACUACAGGCAGGCACCGGAGCUCAUCUCAGCAGGCAGCUCAGCAACACACCACUGCCACCCCCAAAAAUCAAAAUCAAAAUAAAAAAGACCGGUCCAGCUUCUUUCUUGGCAAGAAUCGUCCCUGGUAGGACUGCCCAAAAUAAGCAGCUGCAAUCCAAAGGCUUUAUUUAAAGCUUCCCCCCUCCUCCUCCUCCUCUCCUUGCCUCGCUCUCUCUCUCCCUCUCUCUGUUACACACAGAGAGAAAGAGAGACACACACAGGUUACAUGAAUGGGAGGCAGGAGCCGGCGCUCCCGGGCUGGGAAUGACAGGCACACAUGCGGCCGGCUGCUGCGCACCGCGGGCGGCACGGUGCGGCGUGGGCAUGACGGAUAGGAGAGAAUACUUCUUGAUCCACUAUAUAUGACAGAAUGGCCACAAACAACUGUAAUACAAUACAUCUUCUGUACAACAGGCUGUCUGAACUGGAGACACCUCCUCUCCCCUUUAAGAACAAUCUCUGAGACGGCAAAAUAAAAC
ensembl:lncRNA